UUACAAAAACAUCUUCUGAAUCUAAUAUAUCAGGUAGUGCCUGCUCACUGGUUUUAAGAGCCGCAGUAUCCUAACUGUGCUAAGGUAGCAUAAUCAUUAGUUAUUUAAUUUGUAACUAGAAUGAACGGCCUGACAAAAGAAUAAUUUUAUUAUUUUUUUAUUAAAUUAAUAUAAGAAUAAAAAAGUUCUUAUAAAUUAGAAAGACGAUAAGACCCUAAAACCUUAUAUAUAAAUAUUUACUGGGGUGGUAAUUUAUUCACCAUAAAUUAAAAUAACAUAAUGAGUGAUACUGUCUAUCUAAUUAAUACAAAAAGGUACUUUAGGGAUAACAGCAUAAUUUUUAUUUAGAGUCCUUAUCGACAUAAAAGAUUAUGACCUCGAUGUUGAAUGGAUUUAACU
rnacentral:rRNA from 1 species